AUUGAACGCUGGCGGCAGGCCUAACACAUGCAAGUCGAGCGAGUGGCGGACGGGUGAGUAAUGUAUGGGAAACUGCCCGAUAGAGGGGGAUAACUACUGGAAACGGUGGCUAAUACCGCAUACUAUCGGAUGUGCCCAUAUGGGAUUAGCUAGUAGGUGGGGUAACGGCUCACCUAGGCGACGAUCCCUAGCUGGUCUGAGAGGAUGACCAGCCACACUGGAACUGAGACACGGGCCAGACUCCUACGGGAGGCAGCAGUGGGGAAUAUUGCACAAUGGGCGCAAGCCUGAUGCAGCCAUGCCGCGUGGAUGAAGAAGGCCUUCGGGUUGUAAAGUACUUUCAGCGAGGAGGCGUUACUCGCAGAAGAAGCACCGGCUAACUCCGUGCCAGCCGCCGCGGUAAUUC
rnacentral:rRNA from 1 species